rnacentral:rRNA from 1 species
UACGUAGGGACCAAGCGUUGUUCGGAUUUACUGGGCGUAAAGGGCGCGUAGGCGGCAAUUCAAGUCAGCUGUGAAAUCUCCGGGCUUAACUCGGAACGGUCAGCUGAUACUGCUUUGCUAGAGUGCAGAAGGGGCAAUCGGAAUUCUUGGUGUAGCGGUGAAAUGCGUAGAUAUCGAGAGGAACACCUGCGGCGAAGGCGGGUUGCUGGGCUGACACUGACGCUGAUGCGCGAAAGCUAGGGGAGCGAACAGG